rnacentral:rRNA from 1 species
GAUGAACGCUAGCGAUAGGCUUAACACAUGCAAGUCGAGGGGCAGCACAAGGUAGCUUGCUAUCUGGGUGGCGACCGGCGCACGGGUGCGUAACGCGUAUGCAACUUGCCCUAUACAGGAGGAUAACCCGUCGAAAGACGGACUAAUACUGCGUAUGCUCACAACUUGGCAUCAAGUGGUGAGGAAAGAAAUUCGGUAUAGGAUAGGCAUGCGUCCCAUUAGCUUGUUGGUGAGGUAACGGCUCACCAAGGCAACGAUGGGUAGGGGAACUGAGAGGUUUAUCCCCCACACUGGUACUGAGACACGGACCAGACGCCUACGGGAGGCAGCGGUGAGGAAUAUUGGUCAAUGGGCGCGAGCCUGAACCAGCCAAGUCGCGUGAAGGAUGACUGUCUUAUGGAUUGUAAACUUCUUUUAUACGGGAAUAACAAGAGUCACGUGUGACUCCCUGCAUGUACCGUAUGAAUAAGCAUCGGCUAACUCCGUG